ensembl:lncRNA
CAUUCCGUACAAUUUGAAGAUCAUUUAUUUCACCAAAGAAAAAUUAUUUCCAACAUCCAUUAUACUAAGCAACAAAUCUUCUGGCGUUGAUCAAAUAUGAAGAUAACUAGAGCCUAUGGUAGCUGUCUCUGGAGUGUGAAUUUUGAUUAGUCUUUCAAAUGCUAACUAGCCACUCCUAAAGUGUGUAUUUCUGAUUAGGGAGUUCAGAUAUUAACCAACCACAUCUAGAAUAUAAAUUAAAAUGACCGCCUAUAUAUCACACAGUCUGUGAAGUAAAGUAAAUUGCAGACAAGGCAGCAAUUUUUAAAUUUGCAGAUUAAUGUCUGGUUUACUUAGUGGAAUGUAAGCCUCACGGAUGGGGAGGGGACUUGUUCAUAUCAUAUACCCAGAGUCUGCACAGUUCCAGACUCAGAGCAGGUGACCAAGAAAUGUUACUGGAAUAAAUGGAGGUCACCCGCCAACGUCUCCCUCUUCCUUCCCAGUUCUGCCUUUUUACUUCUCAUUUUCUCUUGUCACUCUCCUUUCUUUGCCUUCCUUCCUUGCUGUAUUUCUCUCUCUGUCUCUCUUUCUUUCUGUCUCUCUCUUGUCACCUCUCCCCGCUCUCUUCCUCUUCUUAUUUAUGUGGGAAUGUCAUGUGGCUUUUUCAGAAUUCUGGCAGAAUAUUCUGCCAUUGAAGAACUUCAGUGUUUGAAGACUUGCUUUCUCUUGAUUUGGUUGCCUUGAGGCUUUCUACUUUCUUUGUUUCCUAAUCUGUAAAGGGAGGUAGCAGAGUGCCUAUCUUAGAGGGGUGUUUUGACAAUUUGUGGAGUGUUCCCAGCAGCCUGUCUCCCCGCUCCACCACCUGUUUCUAAUUUAGCCCUAGCCCCUGUUUCACUAAUUAUUUGAUUUCUUUAAUUUCAUUAGCCACAAUACCAUUCAUUUCUUUCUCUACUGCUCUUGAGAACAUGAAAACGUAGCGUCUUCUUUGCUGAGUGUGUAUAUGACACCAAAACUCUUAAUCUCAAGUUCUCGUUUCCCUUGCACAGCAAGUCUAACACUGAGACAUCGGUGCUUGGAGAUGGAGAAAGAUUUAUUCAAACUGGCCAAAAUGAGUAGGUGGGAGCCUGGGUGGGCUCAAAUCCAUCUUCUCCGGAACAGAAAGCAGGGGGUUUUCAGAGAGCCAAGGAGCUUGGCAGGAGGAGCUUCAGGGAAACAGAGGGGUCGCUCCUGAUAAGCCCCAGGGCAAUCUGAUUUUUGGGCUUCAAAGGCUACAGAGGGCCAGUCGUCUGGUGAGUGCAGCCUCCCCAAAGGCCUUCUCUUUCUUACGCAAAACAAGCUCACAAACACUUGAGAAGACCCCUGAGUCGCAACUCAACCUAAACAGGAAAACAACAAAUUGGCCUAAUAUCUACAGUAACCUUCAGGUAUCUGGCUUCAUAUAUGUGUGUGUAAGGCAGGGGGUGGCAGGCCAAGGAGAAAUGCUUUGCUCUGCUCAUCUUUCUCUUCUAGCUGGAUUCUCUUAGACAAACCGGUUAACCCCUUUCAGCUUUUGUUUUCCUAUCCAUAAGAGGGGGUUAUGAUGCCAAUCUCACAUAGAUGUCAUGAGGAUAAAAUGAGAUGAGUAUAUACGAAGAGGGUUGGCCCAGAUAGAUGCUCAUCAAAUGUUAAUGAAAUUGAAUGAUUCUUUCUAACCAAUUGUAACAUCAGGGUUCAAUGAGAAAGCUGACCUUUUGAGCUAUGGGUAAGGGAUUUAUUACAAGAAUUAGACCCUAUACAAUUGUGGGAGGCUAGGGAAGUGAAAGUCUGAAGGGUAAGUUGGAGGAUCACAGAAGACACCCACCAGUCAGUCUGAAAGCCGGCCCCAUCCAGCUGCCAGAGUGAGACCAAAAAGGGAUCUGAUGGAGAGGUCUGUGGGGAGCUGUUGCCUGUCUAGAUCCACAGCCACGCAUCUGUUGACAAACCUGGGAUAACAGCAGAGUGAGCAGUCAGGAAGGAGAGCCUGACCAUGAGUUAGGAGAGUGACAGCAAUGUGGAACCCGCUGGGCCCUGCAUCUUUCUGUCACCCACAUCUAAGCUUGAUAACCUUAGAAAAUAAUGGCUGCUAAUUCAUUUCAACCUUCCAAAUCUCAUGCAAAUUCCAAUUUUGACCUACUUUAACUUUGUAUAAUAUACAGGUUUAAGAAUUCUGGGAAGUGCAGUUUCAGCUUUACCAAGUUGACACGGGAAAAUCGCUAUGCCAAUAUUUUCCUGUUUACAGCUAAAUCCUUUUGGCUUUGAUUUAAAUAACUUCUUUUUUUCCCCCAAGAAAUGCCAAAGAUUAUCAUUUAACCAUGAUCAUAAGUUUAUGGAGUUAUAUAAAGUAAUAUUCUAACGGGGUUCAAGUCCUCUACCUUGCACUAGAAAUGCAAUGUCACACAAGAGAAGGAUUUUGAUGUAAUCAUAUUAAUUUUCUUACAAAGGGAGAUUGUUUUGAUUAUAACUUGGGUUUAAAUUUCAAAUAUACACUAGCAGUUACCACAUCCAGGGUCUUUAUAUUGCCUUCAUUUGUUUUUUAUUUAUCUCCUCCCAGUAGAUUUUAAGUUUCGCUGUCUAUCUUGCCAUCUCUUCUCUGAGCCUCUUGGGACUCUGUCAUGAGCAGCCUGGACUCUUGCAGACCUGUGCUUCUGUAUCUCCGUGGACCGAGAACACAAUUGUUAAAAGAUUAAAAUAAUAGGUACCAUCUUCGACUUGUUGAGAAGAAAUAAAUAUUAAGCUUCUUAAGUACUUAAGAACAGGUCCUUAAAAUUUUCUUAAUAAAAUUUGCCUCCCUUCCCUGAGGCUAAUAGAACAACUGUGAGGCCUCUGACUUCAGGAAGUCGGUGUAGUUUAGAGCGUGAAUCACCUUCCUAGCUAAGCCAUGGGGAACAGGAAGAGGAGGAAGAUGCUGGCCCUGUCUCAAGGGGUUUGAUAAGAUGACUUUAUGAGUGAAGUACUCUGGAGGAAAACAUGGCCAGUUCUCAGGGAGGAGAGGGCAGAAAUCGAGGGAAGCAAACUAGAAAAAGCGCCUUCAGUUGCUGGCCCUUCUAAGAUUUCGUUAAGCAAAGAAAAUGGGCAGGGUGUUUAUGCCCCUAGAGGAAACUCAAGGAGAUAUGAACAUUUAAUUAAUCUUUUAGCAGCCCUGGCUGAGUGAGCUGAGAAGUUUUGUUCUUAUUUCGACAAAUUGAAAUCUGACAAGAAUGGAUAUGGGAGAAGACAGAGAGCCAGCAAGAUAGAAUGAGUUUGUGAUCGUAAAAGGUAAGUUGUUAAGGAGAUGAAGUUUAUUUUUAGCAUGUCCAUUUAUCCUCUGGGGCCUCUGUAACCCCCUUGGCACUCGGGGUCUCAGUGACAGUGUGCUAUCUAUGGCUGCUCCCCUAUUUUAAAGCCGUGCCUUGGCUCCCCAGGACUCACAUUUCCCUAUUAAACCCUACUUGUCUUCAUCUUAGUCUUUUGAGGCUCUGUUUCUUACGCUACUUCUUUAACCAGACACUGUCAUCAUUCCAACAUCUUAUAUUUGUAGAGUUCCUUAAAGUUCGCUCAGUGCUUUUAAGUAUAUCGCAUCAUUUGAUCACCUUAUUAGAAUGGGUUAAUAUAUUAACAAAUGAGACCCUCUAGAUAACAUAUUGAUAUGUUAACUACUGGAAACAGUACCGUACUCCCCCAAAUCCCUCAGAUUUGCAUUUUUUUUAAUACUUUGUAAAGUGUUUACACAUCUGUUAUUGAAAAGGCUCUAGAGGAGUGGGAUUGGGCACUGAGGUGGACUGUAAGAGAAGACAUCUUAAGGCAGAAGGGCCUUUUGGACUCAGGGCUGCCACACUGCACAACCCCUGGCGGUGCCAUUGACACUGUUGACCCUGGGAAUGGCAUCUCUGCAGCUAGGCAGGACACUACCUGUGAGCAGACGCAGCAGCUCUGUUUGUGGUCUUCAAUUCAUUCCCCUCGGUCCUCUCGUUCCUCUGCCCGUGCUAAGAAGACGAGACGGCUUACACCUGCUAGCCAGUAGUGACUUGGAGAGGGCUAGGGAGAGGGACUCCUAACCCUCCACUUUCCAGGACGGACUAACUAAAGCCUCACAAUAUACUCUUCUUCCCCAAGCCCAGGGGCAGUCAUAUAACUAAGCUUGGCAGAGAAAUUCUUCUUUCAACGCUCAGAGUAAAGCUUCUUGGAGUUACAACUAGAGUAGAGCCCAGAGAUUGUGAAACCAUAUAAAGCACAACAGGAUUCUUUUCCUUUUGAUGUACAAUCCCCUCUCCUAGACAGCUGCCGUUUAUAGUUCCGUUACUAAGCUCGUGUUGCCGAGGACCUGCAGACAGGCUGCUGCCAUUUUCAGUUUUCCUGAUGAAUUCAGAGGGGUACCCAGUUUUAGAAAUAGUUUGUUUGAGUCUGUGCCCUGGCUGUCAGAGCCCCUUUUUAUUAAUCUUUUACACCAAAGUGGUAUUUUCAGGGCUUCUUGGUUCUUCUGCUACAAACUCACUCUCUCGCUGUGACAUUUCUGCUUCAAAGAUCCAGGAGGUCUGAAUGGGCUCCCAAGACCACUGGUCAUCCCAGGAGUUUAUGAAGACAUCCUCAGAAAGUGUGGCACUUUUCCAGGAAAAAGCAAUGAACAUUUUGUCCAUAUAUAUUUCACGUAUUUGCAGUAUAAGAUUAAUUUUAGGCUUCAGAGACAUUCUGUUACAUUCCUAACAAACCAAAAUAUUCUAAAAGCAUUGCUUGUGUCAAAAGGCCACGUGAGUCAGCUGUCACUGCUAACAUUCGCUUCAUCUGCAUUUCUGUGUUUACGUUGGGUGUGAAUUUCAAAAAGUUUACAAUCACUUCUCCAUAAACAGACAGAGUUUGCCCCAAACUGUAUAGAGACCAGACAUAAGUGGCAGAAGCCAGAUUUCUUUAAAGGCUUCGGCAUUCCCUGCUUCCCACACCUCUCUUUGCUCAGGUAGGGGAUGUAGAGCUGUGUGACCUUUUCUUAUUCUUGGCUGGAAGCGUGGAGACCCACAGAGAUAAUGUGAUACGUUUGAGCAGCCCUGGGAGCUUAUAAGAAAUGAAUGUACAAGGAGCAGGUGCUCCUCACAAAUGCUUUAGUGGAAGCUGUCCCUAAAGCCAUUUUGUUUGAGGGUGGUCUUGAAAGUUGGAAAGGAGUGGUCUGUGGGUUGUAGGAGCCUCCCCUGCAGUCCCAGCUGCCAUACCCUUGGGCAGGAGAGAGAGCUGGUCCUCCUCAACCUGUCCAUAAUGUUUUCUUUGAACUGUACUCUCACAGUCAAUUCCUGCCCAAACUUAACAAAUGGUUUUUACUUAAUAUUACAGAUUAAAACACAUGUAGAUAUUAUCUUAGCCACCAAUUUAUGAUCAACAUUUUAAUGAAUGUCAUUCUUUGUCGUCACCUGAAGUAGUUAACAGAGGUGAGCUUAUAUUAUAUACGUGUUAUGUAUACUAUAUACGUGUGCAUACCUUCGUGCUCUCAGACCAGGAGCUUUCUACUUUACAGCUGUCACACUCUCUGUCCACCUCACACCUAAACUGGGCAUGAGGCCAUUACAAACCACGUGAAUGGAAAAUCUGGCAAACUGAGUAUUUUCCCCCAACCUCUCUCUACCAUUGCAUUUUAUUUAGUGUUAUUGUUUAUGUUUGUUAUUUUUGAUUUUGGCUGUUGCAUAAUAUCUUGAAUGAUACAAGAGGAUUAAAAGGCUUAAAAGUAUUUAUCAGAGUAUAAAUACAAUGAUAACAAUAGUCAUAUCAAUACUAUAACUCAGAAUAUAUGAACAGACCUUCUCAAUAGAGAAUGUGAAUAUAAUCAACAUACACUGUGAACUUCCUUAACGAGGACAGGAAAACCCAUGGGAACAAUGAUUUUGCACAAGAUAAAAGGUAUUAUUAGAAAGCAAAACAACAAAUAUCUGAAAUUUGAGUGUUACUGGAUUGACAACUUAAUUUUCCCUAAUAUUUGGUGUAUUAUCCAUUGAAAAAUGUUGUUAAUGUUUUCUCCCAGUUGGUGGGUUGUCUUUUCAUUUUGUUCAUGAUUUCCUUUGCCUUGCAGAAGCUUUUUAGUCUGAUAUAGUCCCAUUUGUUUAUUUUUUCUUUUGUUUCCCUUGCCUGAGUAGACGUGGUAUUCAAUAAGAUGCUGCUAAGAUCGAUGUUAAAGAAUGUACUGCCUAUAUUUUCUUCUAGGAGUUUUAUGGUUUCAGGUCUUACAUUUAAGUCUUUAAUCCAUUUUGAGUUAAUUUUUGUGUAUGAGGUAAGAUAAUGGUCUACUUUCAUUCUUUUGCAUGUUGCUGUCCAGUUUUCCCAGCACCACUUAGUGAAGAGACUUUCCUUUCUCCAUUGUAUGUUCUUGGCUCCUUUGCUGAAGAGUAGCCAUCCAUAGAUUUGUGGUUUUAUUUCUGGGCUUUUGAUUCUGUUCCAUUGACCUGUGUGUCUGUCUUUGUGCCAGUACCAUGUGUAUCUGACAAGGGGUUAAUUUCCAAAAUAUAUAAGAACACAUACAACUCAACAACAAAGAAACAAACAACCCAAUCAAAAGAUGGGAAGACAAUAUGAACAGACAUUUUUCCAAAGAAAAUAUGCAGAUGGCCAAUAGGCACAUGAAAAGAUGUUCAUCACUAAUUAUUGGGAAAUUGCAAAUCAAAACUACAAUGAGAGAUUGCCUCACACCUGUCAGAAUAGCUAUAAUUACCAAGACAAAAAAAUAAAAAUGUUGGAGAGGAUAUACAAAAAAGGGAAGCCUCAUACACUGCUGGUGGAAAUACAAACUGGUGCAGUCACUAUGGAAAACAAUGUGAAGAUUUCUCAAAAAAUUAAAAAUAGAAAACUACCAUAUGACCCAGCUAUCCCACUACUUUUGGUAUUUAUCCAAAGAACAUGAAAUCAAUAAUUCAAAGAGAUUUAUGCACCCCUAUGUUCACUGCAGCAUUAUUCACAAUAGCCAAGACGUGGAAGCAACCCAAGUGCCCAUCAACUGAUGAAUGGAUAAAGGAGAUGUGAUAUACAUAUACAAUGGAAUACUACUCAGCCAUAAAAAAGACAAAAUCACCCCAUUUGCAGCAACGUGGAUGGACCUUGAGGGUAUUAUGCUAAGCGAAAUAAUCCAGACAAAGACAUAUACCAUAUGAUUUCACUCAUGUGUGGAAGAUAAACAAACAGAUGGAUAAAGAGAACAGAUUAAUGGUUACCAGAGGGGAAAGGGGUUGGGGGAGGGUGAAAGGGGUAAAGGGGCACAUAUGUAUGGUGAUGGAUAAAAAUUAGACUAUUGGUGGUGAGCACAAUUCACUCUAUACAGAAACUGAUAUAUAAUAAUGUACAACUGAAAUUAUACAAUGUUAUAAACCAAUAUAACCUCAAUAAAAUAAUUGGAAAAAAUAACAUUGUCAAAUAGAGGCAUGAAGACAUUGCAGAUUUGCAUCUUUUUAAAACGAAGCAUAACGAUAUAUUCACUAGGAAUAAUUUCAGCUGCAUCCAAGAAAUUAACCCCAAAAUAACAGUGGCUUGAACAGAGGGAGAUUAAUUCCUCCUUCUCAAAGAAGUCUGAGGGCAGGCAGUCUAGGGUUGGAAUAGUGGGCCCAUGGUGUCAUCAGAGCCCUGGGCUCUUUUCUCUUUAUUCUACCAUCUCAAUGUGUGGCUUUUGUUUUCACAAAUACUUCCUGGUCAAAGAUGGCUGCUGGCGUUCCACACAUCACAAUCUACUCUAGCCAGCAAGAAGUAAGGAUAAGCGUACCCAUUCCCUUUCAAGGAAAGUUCCCAGAAGUCCUACAAAAACACAUUUAUGUAUAUCACUGACCAGAACUUAGUUACCUGAGCAUCCAAGCUGCAAGGGAGGUGGGCAGGUAGUCCUCCACCUGAGCAGCAUCGUGCCCAUCUAGUAUUGGAGGUUCUAAUACGAAGGAGGAAUGGGAGAAUGGACACUGCUAGCAGUUUCCUCCACAAAUAACUUCCAAAGCAAACCAAUCAGCUUUCCAAGGAUAGGCAAAAAUGAUGCUUUCUAGUGUAAUAGCAAUAAAUUUUGUUGCUAAAGGCAAAGAAGAGACCAAAAUGGAAGAAGAAAUUUAAAGUACUACUACGUAUGACAAAAAUAGUAUUUAUAACACAAAUCACAAGCGGCUUGUAAAAUUAGCCACAAAGUUAAUGAUAAGUACCAUGCUUGAGGGUUAUUGGUAAAAGUCCUUUAUGAAAUGUUCUGUUGUGUAUUGCACAAUAUCAAUGAAAUAUAAUGUGAAGGAGCGAUUACUAUCACAAGUGCAUAAUAAUAGUAAAUAUUUUACUUUGCAGUUCUAUAACCACUGAUUUCAGAGUUUUAAAUAGCUCCUAACAUUUGUCACAUUAUAUAUGAGGGAAAAUUGCUUGACAAGUUUUUGUUCUAUUUAUUCCUGAGAACCCAUGAUCUGGGAGAUUUUUGUUCGUUUCGUAUAUAAUAACUUUGUAAGUCAUGGUGCAAAUAGGAAAGCGUACACUGAGAUUAGUUCCGAAGGAGGACCAGUCAUGUUUAUAGCAAGUAAAAGAGAUUCCUUUGAAAUGUGAAAUCGUUCACUGUUUUAUUCACACAGAAUAGUUGGCAGUGAAGCAGGCCACAAAUCUUAAUUUUAGAGGGAAAAGUGCAAGUUGUAAAUACAAAUAGUGGCUACUUAGUGCAUUAUGUUCAAUGUAUUAUGCAAAAAAUUGGGCAGUAAGUAAAAUCUACUGAUGGUAGGUAGAACACAGAUAGCCUGUGGCAUGUGGUGGUGGUGAAUGGUUAAAUAUUUUAACAGUGGUGAACUGGGAUGCUAUGUAGCUGACGUCUUGACUUUGACUUUCUACAGGUCUUCUGACCUCUAGAACCAUGAGGUAAUAUAUGAGUGUUGUUUUAAGCUCGUUUGUGGUAAUUUUUUAUGCAAGAACAGAAAAUAAAUACAAAUUAAUAGAACGUGUUCCAGAAGGUGGGAGAAAAACCUUAAGAAGAUUCAGAGGCCUACAGCAUCAAUGCAAUUUUUAGUCUAAGGGUCAGAGGCAUGCUGGAACAUUCUCUUCAAAGUUUGGGGCAGAUUAUUGCAUCUCGCACUUCCCAUCACCAGGAAGGAACACAAUGCCUGAUAGGUGUCUUAGAUUUUUGGAGGCAGGGCAUUUAUUGCACACUUGGGAAUAUUGUUUUAACCCAUUUACAGGGAGACACAUAAAAUUGCCAGCUUUGUGUGGGUCUCAGAACAGAAAAGCGAUCUGCGAUAGGUCCAGGUGGACGGACUUUCCACACUGGGUUUGACUUCUGUUCCAAAUACAGGUUGCCUUUUCUGCCUGCAGGACUUCAACCAGCACUGCUAACCAAGGGCUUAGAAAGAGUUUGAUCUACAGGCAUGGGAUCCCACACAAAAUUUCACUGGACCAAGACACCCAUUAUACAGCAAAGGAGGUGAGCAGUGGGCACAUGACCAUGGUAUCCACAGUCCUAUCAUGUACUCCACCACCCACGGGCUGCUGGACUGACAGAGCACUGGAACAAUCUGUUGAAGGGUCAGCUGAGGUGCCAUCUUGGAGAGGAUGCCCUGUCCAGAUGGACCGCUAUCCUCUAAGAUGUAGUAUAUACCUCAAAUUGUUAAAUAUUAGAUGGUGCUGUGUUUUCAAGACCCAGGAAGCAAGAAGCAGAAGUAAAAAUGACCUUGCUUAUCAUCGGCCCCAGUGACUCCUUUAGAGAAUUUGUGCUUCCCUUCUCUUUAACUCUGGAUUCUGACAUUUUAUAGUCUUGUUUCUUAGAGAGUGAAUGGGUCCACCAAAGAACACAGCAAGGUUCUAUUAAGAUAAUUAAUAGGAUUAAGCUCCUGCUCGGUUACUUCAAAGAUCUUGUCCCAAGAGACCAAUAGGCAAGGAAAGUAGUCACCAUACUGGCAUGAACAAUUGACCUUGACCUUCAGGCAGAGGUAGAGCUGCUCGUACACACUAGGGGCAGGGAAGAAUAUAUUUGGCACUCAAGUGAUCCACUUGGGUUGCUCUUGGUAACCGUUGCCCAAUUUUGUUGGUAAAUGUGGCAGCAACACCACCUGGGAAGGUUAUGGUGACCAGUGGCCCGUGGCCACUCUUAUCCAGAGAUAAAACGUCUGUAUCACCUCAGCAGCCCAGCCAGCUAGACCAGCAGAGGUGCUGGUUGAGGGCGAAGAGACUCUAGAACAGAUGGUGGAAGCCUGGCAGAAAGACUGUCUGUUACUGCCUCAAGGUCAGUGCAGUGGCAGAGAUGGAAGUUUUUCUCCCUAACCUUCUUGUAAGAUUCCCCCAGGAAAAGAAACCAAACAGAAUACUGGAGGAGUUUCUCCUAGAGUUUAUAAUACGAAGGAAGUGGAUCCAAGUGGAGUAAGGAGUUGUCCACAGAGGAUACCAUGGUGUGCCACCCAGAUCCCCCUCCAGCUCUUCGAACUUGUGACUUCAACUUUUCCAACACCGGGCUAUUUUCUCUGGACGCAGGCUUGUACAUUUCAGGAGAAAUGUGCAGACAUAGACCUCAGCAUCCAUGGCCCUGCAUUGGGAUCCCCUUCAGACCAACAAAAACUAGCUUUUAUCUGACUUCAUUAGGAAAGAGUAAACAAACUUGAGGAUAUUUGGAAGUCUUUUCAAGAGUCAGAAAUACUUUAAUAACCCUCCAAACUGCUACUGACAUUUUAAAAUUAGAUUAUGCAAAGAACUUCAUCUCUGGGAUGUGGAAUUACCUACUGCCAAAAAUAACUCAGUGGAGACCUGGAAUCUUUUUCCAAUUCUGAGAGAAGCGACGUUAGUGGGAUUAGUUAACAGACCAGAAUCUGCAUUUUCAGCAAAGACAGCAUAUGUGAUUAAUGGAAUAUUUGGAAACAGACACCGCCUGACUUAGGAUGGCUUAACUUGAGAAGUGCUGUCUUUAUAGGCUUAUCAUAAGCAGCACUUUCAUCAUAACGAACAAACUUUGUAUUGAUGAAUACUUAACAGCUGAAGCUGAUGUGCUUUUAAAUAGACUUAAGUCAAUGUAAAUAGUGAUAAAACAACGUGGUGUGCUGAUUUGAAAGGUGAGAAAACUUCUCAUGAUAUGAAUUCAUGAUUAGCUAAAGAGCAUGCUUCUGAACUAAGCCAUAAAUUCUUAGCUUAUCGAUAAGGCAUUAAUUGUCACUUUUUUUUUAGGUGAGAAAGAUUGGCUCUGAGCUAUCAUCUAUUGCCAAUCUUCCUCUUUUUGGUUGAGGAAGAUUGGUGUUGAGCUAAUCACCAUGCCAAUCUUCCUCUGUUUUGUAUGUGGGAUGCCACCACAGUAUGGCUUGAUGAGUGGUGUGUAGGUCCACGCCUGGGUUUCAAACCUGUGAACCCCGGGCCACCAAAGUGGAACAUGCGAGUCUAACCACUGCACCACUGGGCUGGCUCCUGAUUGUCACUUUUUAAAACUCUUAUGAACAGAGCUGGGGAACCAUCAGGAAAAGGUGGUAAGUGGAGUAAGGGAUGGUUUAAUCAUUCAGAAAGAUAACUGCCGGCAAAUUUCAGAUUUCAGAGAAAGCUGGAAGGGCUGACAUAAAGACAUGGAAGGCUUCUCUGGAGAAGUUCGCUGAAGUCUUGGAAGAUGAAGGCUACUGUUUAAGACGGGUGUUUCAUGUUUUUGAAAAGGGAGCAGGAGAUCACUGUAAGAGAGGUCACCUUUGAAACUCCUCCUUUAGAAUUGACCAUUUGCACUCAUUAACUCAUCAAUGGAAAAUUUUGCCCCAAGUGAACAAAAUAUUGAACAUUUCCAGGGUCCUCGGAGCAAUGAAGAUGGCUGAUUCUGAUGACUAAGAAACUUACCAGGAGAAGAAAGCAUUUUCAGUUCACAUUUCACUGGACUCAUGUUUUCAGGAACCAAACCCUUAGCCUAUGCUCACUUCCACCCCCAGAUAUUUUCAAAUAUAGAUUUAUAUUAUGUGUUUGGUUUUAUAUAUUAAAUAUAUGUUUAUCAAAGACUGUAUCCAAAGUGAGGGGAUUUUCUUUUCAUGAUUAUUUGCAUUUUAAUUACAUGAAAUGGAUUUUCAGGAACAAAACUCCAAUUCAAGAGUCAACUAUGGAACUCUCUUACCUGUCAUCCAGAAACUUUAUUAUAAAUCAUUCGUCAACAAUAUCUGUGUUUCUAAUUCUAGUUUAUCGUUUCUUCUGAGGCACAGAGAAAUGAAAUGAAGAGAUGGGGUUCAGAGUUAUUGAACACUAUGCCUAGAGGAUCUUAUUCAGUCUUUAUGAACACCACUGCCCAGUAGGUAUUAUCAACUAUACUUGUUUAGGUGAGGACUCUGAGGCUCCAGGAGCUUGAGUGAUGGGCCCAGGGUUAUUAAAGUUAGUAAUUGGCAGAACUGAGACUUAAGUGCAAGCUUAUUUUCAUAUGCUGUUAUUGCCAAUAAUCUAUCCUACAAGAAGAUAAAAAUAUGGCAUUAAAUUAUUAAUUUUAAAGUAACCAUUGUGACAUUUACUUCUUUUUAUCCCAAAAUAUGCCUCGCUCAGUGGUGGGCACACAGUAGUGUCCAACAGCGGUAGGUCAAGAAACGGACACAGGAUGCUAUUUGGAACUGAGCACCCAGGCUCCGGAUCCGAAACCCGGGCUCAGUUCCUGGAUUCACCGUUAUCCGAAUAUGUACCCUGUGGCAAGUCAGUUUCCUCGUAUGGUAAAAUGGGGAUAAGAAUAUCCAUCUUUUAGGGUGGAUGUGAGGAUUAAUUGGGUUGAUGCUAGUAAGUCACUUAGAGUAGUGUCUGGUACAUCAUAAGUUCUCAGCGAGUAUUAGACAGAUUCUACCACAUUGUAACUGUGUGAACUUGGGCGUGCCUCAGUUUCCUCAUCUGUAAAAUAUGGCAAAAUAAUUUAUCGUGCAUGGCGAUUUUAUUUGGCAAGCAUGUACUUUUAUAGUCUUUGCUCUGUGCUCUGCCCUGUGCAGGUAUUAACUCUAACUUUCAUAGGAGCCUAAUGAGGCAGAUACCAUUCCUAUCCUCAUUUACAGAUGAAGCAACUGAGGAACUGGGAGGUUAAAUAUUUCUUUCAAGGUAACACAACUGGUAAUUAACUGAGUUGAGAUUCAAACCUAGACACUCUAGCUCCGGAGUCUGAGUUUGUACUGAUUACUCUGUGCUACGGAUGCAGUGAAACAAUAUUUGUAAAGCAUCUGUCGAAUUCCUGACACAUAGCAGAAGCUUAGUAGAUGUCAGCUCCUCUCCCAUCUUCUCAUUAAAUAUCUUUAGAAAUUCUCAUGGAAUGCAAAAUGAUAUGAAUUUAUCAGCUGGCCUACGUGUUUUCCUAAAAUAUCCAAGUUUGUGUAAUAGCAGCAUCCCUGAGUUCUUUAGGGGUGCCCAGAAAUAUGCGAACAUACCUCUCUCUGAUUAGGCCCAUCUCGGAUCAUCUUUUCUGUUGACACGUUGGAGUUCCCGGAAGCCAGACAUCAGGAUGCACUGCGGUGUGUGCCGUGAUACCCUGUAGAGCAGCUGUCAGGGAUGACAGUCUGGAGCAGAACAGCUGGAGGGCAGAGCUGAUGCUUCUAAUGACUGAGAACAAGUAAUGGAGAUGAGGCAGCCAAAGGAGUGGUGUCUGACUGCGGCGCGCACCACCCCAUGCUGUUGUGCAGAGCUCCUUGAUGAGGACGCUGUAAGAAUUCUAGAUGGGACAAUUCUGUGCUGUGCGGGACUGUCCUGAUAGAAUCAAUCUGAGUUAUUUCAUACAUUGUAGGAUUUGUAGCAUCCUUGACUCCCAGAUACUGAAUGCUAGUAACUCCACCUAGCAACAACUAAAAAUCAAAACCGGAAUAUGUUGCCCGGGGGUAAGAGAUGGUGUUAUCACCUCUAUUGAAAACUGCUCCCUGUCUGGCCUUUGGGGUUUACCUGGGAUUAUGAGCAGACGGCUUCAUUAUCUAUUGCCUUCUGCUCAAAAUCAGGGGGCAGCCAGGAACACCUAGCAUCAGUGCCACCUGGGAGCUGAUUACAAAUGCAGAAUCUUAGGUCCCAUCCCCAACCUCUGGAUCAGCAUCUGCAUUUUAACAAGAUCCCCAGUGAUUUGCACACAGAUUAUGGUUUGAGAAACAUUGUCUUACUAGAUGGAACAUGGACUUUGGAGUAAGAAGAUCCAGGGUUGAAAUUGAGACUCUGCCUCUUACUAGCUGUGUGACCAUGGGAAGAUCACUUAACCUUUCUGAGCCUCAGUUUCUUCAUCUCUAAAAAGAUUUUAAUACUUUCCCCAUGCUGUAGGCAUACAAUAAGCACUCAAUAAAUAUCAUUUCCCUUCUCCCCGAUCCCUUCCACCAGGGAACACAGUCAGGAAAACCAGUUUAGUUCUUUGGUGAUCAUUAGUGAAUUAUUAUCAUAGGAUAUUGUGGCAAGAUGAAGAGAAGAUGAUGUUCAUUCUCUCCCUCUGUCUCCUCUUUCCUCACUCUGCUGCGUUCUUCCAUAGUUAUAGACACAGUACUUAUCAAGUUCUAGCCAGGGCAUCGCUGGGCCAUGACAAACACUGGAAGAGUGGGCUGGUUGGGUGUGACCAGGAAUGGGAGAGUACAGCUCUCCCGGUUCAAACAGGUUAGUUCAGUGGAACAAAUUACAUUUCCAAGGUAAGAUUUGGGACUGCCGGCAAAGGCUGGACUGGAAGGGAAGAGUCUAGAGGUCACGAUCAGGUCCAGGGAGUUGAUUGGGCAGAGGGUGGGGGAAUAGGAUCAGAGAGAUGUCUGGGACCAAGGAAGAUGGAAAUAAGCCUGUCAGGACACUUUCAGAUGCUUUCUCUACAUCCUCUUCUGUGCUCCCAGUGUGCCCUGCACGUGACUCCACCAGGGUACCCAUCACUCUGGACGGAAACACAGAUCUGACUUUUUUAUUAUUAGAUUGAAAGGAUUUUGAGGAUGAAUAUUAUCUUACAGAUUGUCUCCUGUUUCACUUGUUUAUAUAUCUAGGAUGUAUAAACGGGUACUGUCUGCAAUGAUGAAAGAGUGAACAAAGUUGUGCCUCCAGUGCUACAAUCCCAUCGCAGUGCAUUCCUUACAGGAACCCACGGGGCCUUUAACAGAGCCAACAGUGAGGCGCUCCCUGAGCAAACGCAUCCUCGUUGGUCUCCAAUCCUACAAGCCUCUGUCAGGGAGCAGCCUGGGUGUCCCACUGCCCCUCUCUUCUCACUGCUAGUGUCCUAUGCAUAGAGAAGGAACCCACGGGAAAGGACGGAGAGUUGGCAGAAUCUCUACCCACCAGGUCUCCUUUGCUCACGGUUUUGACUGUGGUUGGAUUGAGAGCCUGUUACUUUGCAGGGAACCAGCUGCCUCAGUUUCCAGGAGCUCAGAGAGGCUAGGAAAGAUUGAUUGUGCCUUUCUUUACUGGAGAGCUACCUGCUGGCCCCAUGGGAUGGCUCAGGAAGUCAGUCCCGAAGAAGUUAGCUCAGGGAUUUACCUGGACUCUGAUGGGAGGGUGGAAACCGGCCUACGGGAGACAGGCAUAAAAUGCAGCCUCUCCACUCUGGAGAUGAGGCCAUGCCCCCGAGUAGAGCUGCUUAAUGAGCUUGGCUGCUUUCCAGAAAUGGAUGUUCAGGAGGAGAGGGCACAACCCCUCCAUCAGGCCCGGGCCUCAGGACCUGAGAUUAGUUGCCACUGAGGAUUACUCAUCCUGUGACAGUUAAAUGUGUUUGAUUUCAUUGCAGAUCAGCUCCACAGCUUAUUAUCAUGCUCAGCAAAACUGUCUGCGGCCCGGAAUUUCCUCACGGGAGGGGAAGGAUGGGGGACUUGCUGGGUGUGGAGGGAGGAAUGGCCUGUGGACCUUCUAUGUUGAAAGUGGAUAAAUCAAAGGAAACCUGGCUCUUACUCUCUCCCACUCUUCCUAGCAGAUCUUUUGUCUAAUUCUGGCUUUCUGAAGAAUGCAUCGUUCUCCUCAGAAGACCCCAAGCAGAGAUGGGCAGAGAUGGGAGGCAUUGGGGGGUGGAUGAGGGUGGGGAGAGACCCAGGGCUCCACCUGAAGCAAGCUAAGUGCUGAGAAUGGUUUUGAGCCCCUUCUCUACACUCACCCGGCACACUUUUCUAUUUCUCUUUGCGGGGGGCUGGAGGGAUGGGCAGGACAGAGGAAAGAGCAAUGAAAGUAGGGAGUCUUUGCCACUUUAUUUACAAUGUGAGCUGUUUCCUCUCUCUUUUUCUUUUGUUCAUUUCUUUGCUCUUUUUAAAUUUUUCAAAUGGUAGAAACAGUAUCCAGCUCAGUAGCUCCCUUUCUCUUUUCCAGUCCCCAAAUUUUACUCACAUUUUGAAGGAAGGUUUGAGUCAUGCUGCCAUGUAAAGAACAUGGCCAGGUGAGAUGUUGACUGAGGACGAAGAGAACAUGCAACGGCUGGUGGAAGAAGAAAGUUAUAAAUACCAACAUGGGCACGUGACUAAUUGCAGAAAGGAAGUCUUCAUAACUACGCACAAUCUCUUCUUUGCUUUGAGAUAUAUAUAUAUAUAUAUAUAUAUAUAUUAAUCAGCUCUUUUUCUCUCCUUCCUCAUUCCCCCUCUAGCCAAUAUAAAGUGUUAGCCCUAGAAUUUGGCAUUUAGGUCAUAGGAUAUCAAAGGAAGAUUGCAUCUGAACUAAGAAAGAAGUGAACAUUCCCAGAGAUAAAGCAACUAUGGGAUACUGUGUGUUUCUUUUAGGGGGUAAGGGGGCAUCUUCAGUUGUGUAAGGGACAGUCACAUCAUGUCAGGAAUAAUGUGAUGUUGUUACUGUCCUUUUUGGGAAGUUCUAAUCUGGGGUAAGAAGCGUGGACUGUGCUCAUUUGUUUAUUUUCAGCUCAGCAUCCCUCCACCCUUUUCUAAGAUCUCCUUUUCAACACGGAGGGGAAGCCAGGAACCGCGUCUCUUGCAGGAGGGGAAGCCAGGAACCGCGUCUCUUGCAGUUCCCUUUCCUGUAUGGCUCUGGCUAGAGCUUGUUCACGAGAGGUUCUUGGGCGAGAUCUGCACAAUGGAGAAAAGGCAAAGCCAUUCUCGAAAACUGUCUCCGUCAGGGAUGGAGGCAGCUGUGGCUUCCCAGUGAGCUCUCGAGGACCCCCGCCUCACUGCCGCAGCCCGAGAGGGUGGCAGCUUCCCAGAGACCCAAGAAUCUCAGCACUUACCUGCUGGUGGCUCCUCUAACCUUUAUUCUUGCCGUUGUUACAAUGUUUGUAAGACAGUAAUAAAUGGAGAAGUGCUUUCUGUUUUCCCCGUUCAGGCUGUGUUCUGGCACUGGGGCUGGGGGUGGGCAUUUGUCUCACACCACUUGACAACACCUGGCUUCUGAUUGAUUUGAACUUUUCAACACUCUGCCUGGCAACGUUUGCUGUGAAUUCUGUCCAAGUGCCAAGGCAGACGUGGCUAGUGAGAGAACAAGACAGUGGUCUGGACUGCCUCACCACCGCUGUUGUGUGGAUCUGGUGACAAGGGAAAGGUCAGCCUGGAGUCCCCUGCUGUUGAGUUGAUGGCUGUCAGGUGGGUGACCUUGGCUGGAAGUGUCAGAAUCUAGAUAGAGGCAGCUCAGAGCCUACCAGGCUGGCUGCCCUAAGGGCGGGCCCCUUUGGCCACUCCAGAAACCUUCCUUCAGGGAGGGACCUUG